CAAGUUGUGGGAUUCAGGUUCAUCUCACAAGACUUGAGUUCAGUUGCCCCUGCUUCAUGAAAAUUUCUCUGACUUCCAUGGUCCUUACCAAAACUCCAGGAGCCUUCUUGCUAGAGAGCAUAUGAAACACUUUCCUUUUGACUGAAAAAAAGAAAAAAAUCAAGUAAAUUAUUUCUCAUCAGCUUCAAAUUUUAUGUAAAUAAAAUAGAUGAAUUGGUCUGCAAAGUGCACUCAGAAACACACAAAGCUUGCAAACCACAGCUGUACAGAGUGAUGUUCAAUAAUAACCAUUUGUUCAACAGCUUUU